rnacentral:rRNA from 1 species
GACGUAGGGGGCGAGCGUUGUCCGGAAUCAUUGGGCGUAAAGCGCGUGUAGGCGGUCCGGUAAGUCCGCUGUGAAAGUCGAGGGCUCAACCCUCGAAUGCCGGUGGAUACUGUCGGGCUAGAGUACGGAAGAGGCGAGUGGAAUUCCUGGUGUAGCGGUGAAAUGCGCAGAUAUCAGGAGGAACACCAAUUGCGAAGGCAGCUCGCUGGGACGUUACUGACGCUGAGACGCGAAAGCGUGGGGAGCAAACAGG